GAUGAACGCUAGCUACAGGCUUAACACAUGCAAGUCGAGGGGCAUCAGGAAGAAAGCUUGCUUUCUUUGCUGGCGACCGGCGCACGGGUGAGUAACACGUAUCCAACCUGCCCUUUACUCGGGGAUAGCCUUUCGAAAGAAAGAUUAAUACCCGAUGGCAUAAUGAUUCCGCAUGGUUUCAUUAUUAAAGGAUUCCGGUAAAGGAUGGGGAUGCGUUCCAUUAGGUUGUUGGUGAGGUAACGGCUCACCAAGCCUUCGAUGGAUAGGGGUUCUGAGAGGAAGGUCCCCCACAUUGGAACUGAGACACGGUCCAAACUCCUACGGGAGGCAGCAGUGAGGAAUAUUGGUCAAUGGGCGCUAGCCUGAACCAGCCAAGUAGCGUGAAGGAUGAAGGCUCUAUGGGUCGUAAACUUCUUUUAUAUAAGAAUAAAGUGCAGUAUGUAUACUGUUUUGUAUGUAUUAUAUGAAUAAGGAUCGGCUAACUCCGUGCCAGCAGCUGCGGUAAUACGGAGGAUCCGAGCGUUAUCCGGAUUUAUUGGGUUUAAAGGGAGCGUAGGUGGACUGGUAAGUCAGUUGUGAAAGUUUGCGGCUCAACCGUAAAAUUGCAGUUGAUACUGUCAGUCUUGAGUACAGUAGAGGUGGGCGGAAUUCGUGGUGUAGCGGUGAAAUGCUUAGAUAUCACGAAGAACUCCGAUUGCGAAGGCAGCUCACUGGACUGCAACUGACACUGAUGCUCGAAAGUGUGNGUAUCANACAGG
rnacentral:rRNA from 1 species